rnacentral:rRNA from 1 species
UUGAACGCUGGCGGCAGGCCUCACACCUGCAAGUCGCGCGGAUGAAGGGAGCUUGCUCCUGGAUUCAGCGGCGGACGGGUGAGUAAUGCCUAGGAAUCUGCCUGGUAGUGGGGGAUAACGUCCGGAAACGGGCGCUAAUACCGCAUACGUCCUGAGGGAGAAAGUGGGGGAUCUUCGGACCUCACGCUAUCAGAUGAGCCUAGGUCGGAUUAGCUAGUUGGUGGGGUAAAGGCCUACCAAGGCGACGAUCCGUAACUGGUCUGAGAGGAUGAUCAGUCACACUGGAACUGAGACACGGUCCAGACUCCUACGGGAGGCAGCAGUGGGGAAUAUUGGACAAUGGGCGAAAGCCUGAUCCAGCCAUGCCGCGUGUGUGAAGAAGGUCUUCGGAUUGUAAAGCACUUUAAGUUGGGAGGAAGGGCAGUAAGUUAAUACCUUGCUGUUUUGACGUUACCAACAGAAUAAGCACCGGCUAACUUCGU